rnacentral:lncRNA from 10 species
GAGGACGUGACCGUUUUGGAAGCAUUGUUCUUUUCACUGUUAGUGAGGAGCGGUCAAGGAUGCGUAUUAAGAAAGAUCUUAUUCACUGAUUUGAAGAGUUCAUGCAUCGAGCCAGUAGGCUGUGCACAUGGGUAAAAACUGGCUGCGGCUAAACAGUUACUCUUAGAAGAAAGGAAGCAUUGAGAGUAAGGAACAAAUGCCAAUGAUGACAACCCAAACACUAUGCCUCAUCGGAGCACAAAGUUCCAAGUGACUUCAAAGGGUUUUCUGUACUUGGAGCAGCUCUAUGGGACAUGGAAGAUGAGAAAUGAACCGACACCAGAGGUGCAAUGAAAGGUAAAACUCAUAGCAUCACCACAGCUCUUAGGGCUGGUGAAUUACCAGAUCUCCGUCAAGUGCAGUAACCAGUUCAAGUUGGAAGUGUGUCUUUUGAAUGCAGAAAACAAGGUCGUGGACAACCAGGC